UUAAGUUCAGCGGGUAUCCCUACCUGAUCCGAGGUCAAACGUUUGAAUAAGGCUUCAUGGACGCCGACGUAGAAGGGAGAGACGCAAAUUGUGCUGCGCUCUACCACCAGUACGUUGGCCGCCAAUCGCUUUCAGGCGAGUCCUUUGCAGGACAAACGCCCAACACCAAGCAGUGCUUGAGGGUACAAAAUGACGCUCGA
rnacentral:misc_RNA from 1 species